GACGAACGCUGGCGGCGUGCUUAACACAUGCAAGUCGAACGGAAAGGCCCGGCUUUUGUGGGGUGCUCGUGUGGCGAACGGGUGAGUAACACGUGAGUAACCUGCCCUUGACUUUGGGAUAACUUCAGGAAACUGGGGCUAAUACAGCAUAGGAGCUCCUGCUGCAUGGUGGGGGUUGGAGAGUUGCGGCGGUUGGGGAUGGACUCGCGGGUUAUCAGCUUGUUGGUGGGGUAGUGGCUGACCAGGGCUGUGACGGGUAGCCGGCCGGAGCGGGUGACCGGCCACAUUGGGACUGAGGUACGGCCCAGACUCCUACGGGAGGCAGCAGGGGGGAAUAUUGCACAAUGGGCGGAAGCCUGAUGCAGCAACGCCGCGUGCGGGAUGACGGCCUUCGGGGUGUAAACCGCUUUCGCCUGUGACGAAGAGUGAGUGACGGUAAUUGGUAAAGAAGCACCGGCUAACUACGUG
rnacentral:rRNA from 1 species